rnacentral:misc_RNA from 1 species
CGUAGGUGAACCUGCGGAAGGAUCAUUCAUAAUAAGUGUUUUAUGGCACUUUUUUAAAUCCAUAUCCACCUUGUGUGCAAUGUCAGGGUUGAUUUUUCUCUCGAGAGGAUCAACCCCAAACAUCAACUAUAUCUCAACUCUUUGUCUGAAAAAUAUUAUGAAUAAAACAAUUCAAAAUACAACUUUCAACAACGGAUCUCUUGGCUCUC